ACAGAGCCAGAUUGCCUCUGAUCUGUGUCUCCACAAAAGGAAAUGGAACGCUGGGAGAUGACCUGAUGAAAUUAACCAAAGGGGACUGCCAAUCUCAAUGAGUCAGUCCCCAUUAAACCCUUUUCCCCCUUAACUCGCAGGAAGCUGGUUUGUUUUGCCUGAGUGAACCAGGAAAGGGGCUCAGGAAGCAGCUGUAGGGCAGUGAAAGGACUACAGGCUUGGAGUCAGAAGGCCUGGGUUCAAACUUGGCCUUGAGAGUUCAUCGUGAUCCUGGCCAGUCACUUCACUUCCUAGGGACUCAUCUGGUUCAUCCAUCUGUAAACAAAGCCGAUCAUAUCACCCUCCCAGGAUCACUGCAGGACCAGUAAGGAAGAUAUUGAGUAAUCCAGCUGUGAGAACUGCAGACUGAGAACAAUAAGUAUUUUUAAAAUAACAACCUUCCGAGUGGCCACCGACGCAUCAAAUACUGGAUUGGGCGUGGUGUUAUUAUAAGACCAAGAGAAUGUAAAACAUCCUGUAACAUAUCUUAGUAGAAGAUCUUUGCCAAGGGAAAGAAAUCUGUCUUCUAUCUAAGAGGAAUGUUUGGUAAUUGUUUGGGCCUUGGAUAAACUCAGGCCAUACGUCUUGGGCCAGGCAUUUACAUUAUGGACUAAUCACAGAGCCCUGCAGUGAAUACAGACAUUGUGGAGUAAGAGUAAGUUACCGAGAUGGUCAUGGCAGCUUUGACACUCACAGAGACAUGCAGCCUGUGUCCGGAUGGGGAACAUUCAGGCCAAGACACUUUCUUAAAAGGAAAAAUGUGAACGCUGGUAUCCCCUGAACCGACCCCAUCUAAGUGGAUCCUGAACUCCCAGCCUGUGCCAUCAGAUAAGAAUGUCAACACGGCAGAGGGCGAAGGUAAGAAGGGACCCGUCCAACUCAGCCUGCUUGGGUCACAUUUUGUUUGCUUUAUCAGGUCCAAGAGAAAUCUGACUUCUUUGAGGGGCCUGUGGGUGUCAUUCACAGGGACUCCUGGUAACUGAGCUAGACAGUGAAAAACAGGCAUUCUCUGUAAAAGGGCACUCAGGACUGACAAGAAGACAGAAGAAACAGAAGCUCGCCACUCAUGACAGCAGCACAGGCGUAGGCUUGGAGAAAGAAAGAUGAACUUGAGAGCCUUUGGUUCAGAGAGGUGUUACAGACUUGCUGAAAAUGUAACUCCAAGCAGCAGCAGAAGAUAAAUGAGAACAGAAGGAGCUAGAAGGGAAAUGAACUAAAGCAGGAAAAAUACAAAGAAAAGCAAAGGCUAGGAGAUCAAACAUCUAAAACAAUACUAGCAAACACAUAGCACAUGUACUGCAAGUGCCCUGCCCCAGGAUUCACGGUGGUCUCACACCCUUCAGGGACCCCCCAGGCAGCCACUGGGAGAGACUGCUUCAUGUGCACCUCCCAGGCCUGAAGCGAAAGCCUAGACUUUCCACUUCCAGUUAAACAUGGAAGAGUGACCAUCUUACACCUCCUCUCCCUUCCAAAACCCUACUAAAUUUCCUACUGUUAGGGAAUUUUAAAACGUUUUAACCUAUGAGGACAAAGCAAAAAGAGAGGAGAUAUCCACAGAUAAAGAUUUCAGCAAACUUGGAGAAAAGUAGAGGAAAGCGUUGUAAUUGAGUGUAAGUUGCAAACAUUUAUAUCCACUGUGGAGGAAACUUGAGAACAAAGCCAUCUGGACUGACAGACACCCCAGUAGCCCAGCCCUCGGAGGCACAGGAACCAUGAAAGAUGAGGCUCUGGUUCAUGAUGGAAAACUGAGCUUAGACUAAGCCCAUGUUAUGCAGCCAGGCUACUACGUAACCCCCAUGCUCCUCUCCAAGCAGGGGAGAGGUUUACUCUUCAGAGAAACUGAGAAGGGGCUGCAGACCUAGGAAACAGGCACCAUGGAGAACAGAGCUCAGGGCAAGGGGCACCCAGAACACCAACCACACGUCCACCUCCACAGGCAGGAGAUUCAAGGAUAUUUCUCUGGAGAAAACCAACCACCUGAGAGGAAAAACAUCUACAUAAUGACAGUUGUGUGCAGGGUUCCAACAAAAAAAGAUAGCUCAAAAUCUGUUCUCCUAAAGAAAAGCUCAUCAACCAACUACCCCACCUAUGCAUGCUGAGCUGCACGGCACAGGGCAUCUGCAGCACAUGCACGUAGAACUUUCGACCUGUCCAAUAUGGAUAUACUCUAAAAGCUGACAGCCAUCUGGGGAAAGCCCCUGACAAGAAAGGCAGGGUUAACACAAACACAAUAAGAACUUGGAGGUGGGGGGAUAGGCAGGGAAAAUAAAAAGAACUUCAAAAAUCCUGUUAUAUUUGGCCAGGUGCGGUGGCUCAUGCCUGUAAUCCCAGCACUUUGGGAGGCCAAGAUGGGCGGAUCACAAGGUCAGGAGAUCAAGACCAUCCUGGCUAACACAGUGAAACCCUGUCUCUACUAAAAAUACAAAAAAUCAGCCGGGCGUGGUGUUCGGUGCCUGUAGUCCCAGCUACUCGGGAGGCUGAGGCAGGAGAAUGGUGUGAACCCAGGAGGCGGAGCUUGCAGUGAGCUGAGAUCGCACCACUGCGCUCCAGCCUGGGCGAUAGAGCAAGACUCCAUCUCAAAAAAAAAAAAAAAAUCCUGUUAUAUUCUUAAAGAAUGUUAAUUAAAGUAUGUUAAGAUAGUGCAUCCAUGAAACAAGAACAGAAUGCUAUGUGAAGGAAAUAAUCAGAAACUAGAAAGGUCUUAGAAAUUACAUGGUCAUAAAAAUUAAAGAAUUCAACAGAGAUUUUAGAAGACAGUCAAGCAAAUACCACAGAAAGGAGAACCAAAAAUAAAAACAGAAAAUAGGAAAGACAAGGAAAUUUGAGAUGCUGUCCAAAACAGCAUUUCAGAAAUAAAGAACAGAGAAUAUACAAAGAAGGAAAGUAUCAGAGAAAUAUUGAAAGAAACUACACAAGCAUGAGUUUCUAGCUUGAAAGGGUUCAUCAAAAGGGAUGCAUAGGAGACAAUGGAUAUUCAAAGCCCUCCCCGAGAUACCUCAUCUACGACGUACCGGAAUGCCAGAAAUCAACCUGAAAAGCAUCCAGAGGCAAAAUUCAAUCACACACAAAACAAAGAACAUCAGAAUGGCAUUGGUCUUAUCACAAGCAGAAUGCUGGAAGACAAUGGUGGAAUACCUUCAGAACUCUAAGAAACAAAUGAUUUCCAAUAUUGAUUUCCAAAACUGGUUUAAUUAUGUCAAGUCUGGGGUGCAAUCAACACAUUUUAGAUAUGCAAAAGCUAAAACAAUACUUCCCUCGCACCCUUUCUUAGGAAGCUAUUAGAGGAUGUGCUUUCAGUAACCAAGAAAGCAGGAUGUGGUAGACAGGGGCCACCACAUAGAGGAUGCUAGCUAUGCUCCCAGCCUAGAACACAACUAGUCCAGACUGGAGUAGGAGGGUGGAAGACUAAGGGUAGGAGGCCUCCAAGAAAAAGCAAAAUGCAAAUGGUAGGUUAUGUGUUUGAGUACUCAGAAAAAUGGAUAGAUGUCAGAAAGAUAUUGCAGUGAUUAAUUUUAUGUGUCAACUUCACUGAGUCAUAGGGUGCCCAGAUAUUUGGUCAAGCAUUAUUCUGGUAAUAAUAUGUGUGUCUUUGAGGGUGUUUCUGGACGAGAUUAACAUUGGAAUCAGUAGACUGAAUAAAGCAGACAGCCCUCCUCAAGGUGGGUGGGCAUCAUCCAAUCAGCUUAAGGCCAGAAUAGAACAAAAAGGCUGACCCUCCCUCAAGUAAGAGGGAACUCCUCCUGCCUGAUUGCUUGUGUUGGAAUUUGUCUCUUCCUGCCUUCAGACUUGAACUGAAUUAUUGGCUGGGUCUCAAGACUUCAGGCUUUCAGACUGGAACACAACAUCGACUCUCCUGGGUCUCCAACUUGCCAAAUGUAGAUCUUGGGACUUCUCAGCCUCCCUAACUAUGUGAGCCUGUUCCUUAUAAUGAACCUAUUUCUAUAUAUGCAUACUAUUGGUUUUGUUUCUCUGGAGAACCCUGACUAAUACAGAUAUAUAGAAAUGUUUAGAAAGUGAUAUAUGUGAUAACAUAUGAAAGAACUGUAGUGAACUAUUUUUUCAUAGUCAUCAUAUAAACAAUAACUAUUUAAAAGUUCA